UUAUGAACGUGAUUUUCACAUGGAUGCUGCAGAUCUGAACUCAGACCCCCAUGUUUGCAUAGCAAGCCCUCAACCCACUGAACCACCUCUCCAGCCCUUCGGUGCUCUUAAUUUAAACUCUACCAUCGAGCCGUUCUUCCUGCUAUUUGCCUUAGUAAAAGCCAAUUUCACUAUUGCCCCCACUCAAACCAAACCCGAUGAAGCUUUCUUUUCUUACAUAUACACUUUUGAUUUUUAUAUUUUAAAAAAUUAGGUGUAUGUGUUUGUGCAUGGGAGAUGUGGAUAUGUGCAUAUGUGUGCAGAUGCCUACAGAGGCCAGAGGCAUCUGAUCCCCCCAAAGCUGAGACAAUUGAGAGCUGUGGGAGACUCAAUUCCUCUGCAAAAGCAGUAUGUGGUCUUGACCACUGAGCUAUCUCGCCAGCCCCUGUAAGUAUUUUUAUUUUGAUAGCUUCUUCUUCUUUUUUUUUUUUUUAACAGAAUGCAAUGCCCACCAUGCACACUGUUCCUAGUGCUAAAUAAAAGUGUCCAAAGCCUACAAAACUACUACUUGUCACGGAUUCAGAUUUCUAAUUAGGAGACAGAGGACAGCGGAACACCUGGGUCAGCUGCUGACCAGUGUGGUGAGAGAACACCAGCGCAGGGCAGAGGGCAGAGGCUGAAGGAGGAGGGUGGAACACUGCUGCUUCAUUAGGAGACACGUCGUGGAGAAGGUGGACUUUGUCUAAAGAUCUGAAGGCAAAGAUGAGGUGCUACCUGAGGAAGAGUCUUCUAGAACAAGGGGGCCCAGUGUGCAAAGACACUUGGAGUAGAGGCUCUGGUCUUGGCAAACAUGUGUACUCUAUUCAGUCCCUUAGAGAACACCACGGGCUCGUCAUCUGAAAUACAGCGUCCACCCUCAUUGCUUUCUCUCUUCCUCAGACCACACUUCAAUAAUCACUGCCUCAUUACUUUCAUGGUCUAAUUUCUGGACCCCUAUAUCUUGUCCCCCACACACAUACACUUAUACCCUCUUCAGCAUAGAUGCUAUGUGAUUCUAUUAAAACAAGUCUAUUCGUGCUAGGUUUCAAAGUCUCCCAUGGUUUCACAAAUCACGCCACACAAAUGCCUCGCAUCUUGUCCAUUGCCUGCUCAGCCCCCACCCCCACCCCCUGCCUCUAACCCGUCACUCAUAUGCCUAAACUCGCUCACUCAGCCUCGUCUCCAGUCCUUCAGACUCCUCCUGUUCUACAAGCUUCGGAAGUCAGCAUUUAUCUGGCAUUAAGAACAGCGUGUGUGGUAGCUACUCAAUAGCUCCUUGUUGAAAAGGGUACUGCUCUGUCACUGGAAAAAGCCUUGAGCGUAUGAAUACACAUGCUGUGGUAACUGAGCUCUGUGACAUCCCUCAAUGACCCUUGCCUUCUGGCUGCCCUGCCUUGGUGGACUCUCCUCCCACAAUGGAUCAGAGUGAACCUAUUUGACCCAGAGAUUACAUGAUGGUGUGUGACUUCCCAGAUUAGAUUACAAGACAUAGAACAAUCACUACUUUUUCCUCUGAGGGGCGCCAGUUGCCGUGGGAGCACUCAUCUACCCUGAAAGUGAGUUCAGUGGCAAGUGACUGAGACCUCCAUCCAAUAACCAGUACCACCCCCAUCUAGUAACCAAUACCACUUCCCCAUCUAAUAACCAAUAUUACCCACCCAUCCCCAUUUAAUGACCAACACCAUUUGCCAGCCACUGAAAGAGAUUUGCCUGCUUAUAACUAAGUUUUCAUAUGGCCACAACUUUGGUCAACAUCUUGACUAAAACUUCAUGAGUGACUGUCCAAGGCAGAACCAAUCAGCUGAUGUUCUCAUUUCUGGUACACAGGUAACAUUCGAGACUACCCUUACUGUUUAGUGGUACUGCUUUGGGAGAAAUUUAUACCUGGAUUUACUAUAUGGAAAUGCUGUAUCCGAAAUCUAAAAUGUGAGUAGAAUCCUGCAAUCCAACACUGAGUAAGAACCAGGAGGAUAAAGAUGAAGAUGAAGAUAAAGUGAAAACACUAAACGACUUUGAAGUGACAGCCACUGGGGCUAAUGGGACAUGAGGAAAACAUCACUCUGCAUGAGAAGAAAGGAGAACCUUUUUAAGUACUGGUAAGAAAGUUAGCAUGCUGUUGCCUGGGACAAAGUAGAAAUGCUCCUGUUGACAUGGGGACAUCUAUCUGAGGAAAUUCCCAGGCAGGGUAUUAAAGAGUAUGGGUUUAGACUUUCUAUAAAAUACAAUGAGACAAAUAAGCUAAAAGAAGAGCUAUUUUAAUUUUUAAUUUUUUUAAAAUUUAAAGUAAAAAAAAUGCUAUAUUUAAAGGUUCCUAGCCUCUAUGGAUGCCUCGGUGCUAGACUGUGAAAAUGCCUUCUAGGUAAAGAUAACAUCAGAGGCAUCAGAGGAAAGCAUGAUAAGAAGAUAAAGCCUACCUUGUGUUUGUAAAAUCACUUGUUAAGAUCUGGGAAUAUCCAGGCAGUGCCUUGGGGAACAACUGAGAGGAACAACAGAGGCUUCUAACGAGGCUAAAGGUCAUACUCUUGUGCAGUCCCCAAAUCCCCAUGGCAGCCUAACAUCCAAGAAUGAUCUUCUCAGAAGACCCAUGGUCGUGGUCUUAACAAAUGUAAUGAGCAUCACUCAUAUUUCCAGAGGAACCACAACUUUUAUAGACUUAGCGAGGCCAUAUCUAACGAGGACUCAAAGAGACAUGGACAAUUUAAAGUGAAGAGGCCUCUGAACUCUAGGAAGAAGGGAAACCAUGAAAGCAGAAAAUAUGGACUGUGUGUAUGGAAAGACACUCUAGAAAGCACAGAAGGAGCCGAGAACCAGAGGGACCUAUUCUCUGGCUCUGGCUCUUAAUCAGGGAGGGACUCCUGCAGGUCCUGAUGAAGUUCUGUUCUGCUAUGGACCAGUGUGUCUUGUGUGAUGGCUAUCUUUCUCCUCUGUGUGUCAUCCCCUCAUGCUCUCCUUGAAUAUUGAGUUUCAUGUUAGGUUUCAGCAGACAGAUAACCUAUGUCUUCAGAGCCUAGGCCACAAACAAACCCCAAUAACAACUAAAACUUUUGUGUGAAACCAAAAGGGAAAUUGAAAAAAGUCUUGAAGACCAGUGAAAAAGGAAAUAAAGCAAUAACAAACACAGGGUGCGGCAAAAGAAAUCCAGGGUUUUAGGAGUCAAGAAAUGGGCUUGAGUCUCCCUAGGCUUCUGUAGAGGCAGAGCUGAAGCAAUGCUGAGAUGGGAGUGAGAGACUUGGAAGGGAUACAACUCUGCACGUUAAAAGUCACAAAUCAAUGGGUGCCUAAGAAGAAGAAAUGCAACAAAACAGAAAAGAUCAGUGAAACUUGAAGCUUUUUUUUUUUAAAGAUUAAAGCGAACAAACUUUUACCUAGAUUAGUAAGAGGGAAGAGUCAAAUAAGCAAUUGACAUCAUAAAAUGAAGAAGACGUCACAGUUAGUACUGCAGAAUCACAAAGCCUAAGAGACUGGGGUGAGCAGGAUCUUCAACAAGCCGAACAACCUAGAAGAGAUGGACAGGUUCCUCAGAACGACAGCCUAACAGGAUGGAGCCACAGACAGAGACUGACGGAUUAGUAACCAGUGUGGAGAUGGAAGUAUCUCCAGGACCUCACCCCGGCUUCCCAAUGGUUCCCUGGUUCUUGUGAUCUCAACUGACCUAUUGUAGAUGCUAUAGAGAGGCAAGAUGGCGUCCAAAGCUGAUUAUGAAGGAGGAGGUUCAUCCUCAGCAACCUUCAAGCUUGCUCAUUUCUAAGUAGCAAACACUAUCAACAAUCAUGAAGUCUGGAGCUUAGAAGAAUGUGGUAAUGUGCAGGACUAGAAGGGAGGGAGCCCUGUUUCGAGGUUGCAUCCACACUUUUAAACUCUCCUGAAGUCUCUAUGAUAAGAGGAAUCUAACCGAAACGAUUGGCUUGCAAACAUCUCGGCACUACUAAGUACAACACACACAGGGCCAUUCUAUCAAAGCCUUGAGUUAGAGGUCCGCUCUGAGAACCAUGCUCUGCAGACCAUGCUCUGAGGACCACGCCCCGCUGUGAGAAAAACAGAGCCGACCUCACACCUUGGUACCUCCCCGUCUUCAAUAGAUUAAAAAGGACUGCAGCAAGAGCUUGCAAGCCUCUCUCUCACUUCCUCUCUCUUGCUCAGGAGAACUGUGAGAACUAACUGUUGAUCUGAAAGCAACCAUGAUUUGCUACAGAGGUGCGAGCUUGCACAGAGACCUGUGAAAUCCCACAGAACACAGGAAGUGUCUAAUUCCGCUGGAUCGGGCUGGUGUCAAGGCAGCUGACAGCUUCAGAGCCAAGAGCCUCCAGAAUCCUUUUUGGUAAGGAAUGUCAGCUACAAGGGGAAUCCCUACCUCACCAUCUACACAGAGUUCAAAGGAAAUGCAGAUUUAAUCAUUUGGUUUCUGUGUGACUUUCAAGUCAAAGUGAAACUAGAAUGUGAAUAUCAGAGCGUGUGAACCUUUUUGGUACGAAGCCUGGGUUCCCCUCUUACUGCUGCGGUGUGUAGAGGAUUGUGCAAUGUAAUAGCAGCAUCCAAGAUACACAGGGUCUCUGCUUCGACUCUCAAGAUGACUGCUGAUGCUCGGAGCUGAGCUGCAGAGUGCAGCAGCUCAUUGUUUGGGCCAGGAGUGUGCACGUGAAAAAUGACUCGCCGCACACUCUGCUUCCAUUCUGGUGCUCCGGGAAUGGAUUGACUUCAAAGAACUCUUUAAAAAUUAAAGUUAGGGGGACUGGAGAGAUGGCUCACUGGUUGAGAUUACUGACCGCUCUUCCAGAGGAGCCAGGUUCAAUUCCCAGCACCUAUAUGGCAGUUCAUAACUGUCUGUAACUCCAAGAUCUGACACCCUGAUGCAGACAUACAUGCAAACAAAACACCAAUGCACAUGAAAUAAAACUAAACUUAGAAUGCCACCUAGCAGUAGUGAAACUAAGUUCAAUCCCCAGAGCCAUUAAAUAAAUAUAAUGCAUGUAUAUGCAUAUAUACAUAUACAUAAUCUAUUUAUAAUUUAUAUUUCUCCAUUGGUGAACAAAAGUUAGAAUACAUGUUCAUUGUUAAAAAUAAGAAACAGAACACGGGUGAUGACCAACCUAAACAUCACCAGUGUGGUCUUACACAAAUAGGUUCCCUUUUCUUAUUUCAUUUAGAAACCCACUAAGCAAUUGGUGUAAUACUCCAUUUAGAGCAAGAACACCACAGAGUUGUCUCUGAUAUCCACAUAAAUGCUAUGACAUGCUUGCCUCCCUAUAUACACACAUCAUGUAUGUGUGUGUGUAAACACAUACACACACACACACACACACACACACACACACAGAGAGAGAGAGAGAGAGAGAGAGAGAGAGAGAGAGAGAGAGAGAGAUAUUAAAAAUAAAUCUAGUACCAGAACCUGAGUUUGAUCCCCCAAACCAUGUAAAAAAAAAAUCCAACCAUGUGAUGUAUGCUUGUAAUUCUAGCUCAGGGGAGGGAGAGCCAGGCAGACAGAUCCCUUUGUCUGAAGAAAGAAAGUGGAUGUCUCCAUGGAAGGACACCUGAAGUUAACCUCUGACCCCCACAGGCAUGCACAUGCAUAUGAACAUGUACCCACACACAUGAACAUACACAGGAAAACACUUCUCUUACGCCAUGCAUACCAUAAUUUGUAUAAAAUUCCACCAUAAAGGAGAGCUGGUUUCAGCUUCCUUUAUUAUAAACUAUACUGCAGCAACUAUAUGUGAAUACACAUUUUUUUCUGUUUAGCAUCAAUUUCGUACUAUUAAAUUUUCAAAAAAUUGAAAUUAAGACCAAAUUUCAGUGGUUUUUAAUGUUUCAUAAUUAACUUUGCUUCUUUACCAUGGCUUUAAAAAUAUUUAUAAAGGGCUGGAGAGAUGGCUUAGCUGUUAAGAGCACUUGGCUGCUCUUUCAGAAGUCCUGAGUUCAAAACACCAAUGCACAGAAAAUAAAAAUACAAAAUAAAACCCAACAAAAACCUAUAAGAUACCAAUUAUGAGGACAAACUUGGGGUCUCAAACUUUAUAAAUACUUCUUGAAACAUGCAAGACUGCCUUGGUAAGUAGGCCACUUAACCAGUGGGAAGGGACUGUGUCCGGCUGCCCUCAGCGAAAGGCAAUGGUCUGUGUUCCCAAGGUCACCAGGCCCCUUUGUCCAUUCUUCCCGUUAGCCCCAGGGUGGCCACCUUGGUGAAAUCUCCUAUUUCUGUUUUCACCAUAAUCCAUUUUUAAAUUUGUGUUUCAGGAGAGGCAGCUGAGCCCUGCUUAUUGGUGCUGCCAGAGAAAUGACACUUUUGGGGAAUGAGCCACUCAAAGGAACUUGACUGAAAAGGGAGCAGAAGGAUGGAAUGGCCCCAGGGACCUGUGGUCCUUCCUGAUCCCUUGGUGUUUUGAGGCUCUUUUGAACUCUUUGGAUUCACUUUGAACUAA
rnacentral:lncRNA from 1 species